rnacentral:misc_RNA from 1 species
AAGUCGUAACAAGGUUUCCGUAGGUGAACCUGCGGAAGGAUCAUUAACACGUAUCCACGUAUCAACCAAUGAGAAUUGUUUUCACCUCUCCCUAUGCUGAGAAUGAAUUGGAACUUGAUAUAGGCCAUAAAUGGGGCAGCCGCAAGGCGCCAACCUAUAGAAGUCACUUAUUAAAGAGAAAUUUUUAAUAGACAAUUGUAUUUCAGCAUUAGGCUUCGUCUUUCUAAUUUGAUCUCCAUUUAUGAUCGUGUUAGAGGGACACAUAUUUACCUAUUUCACCCUUUUUUGCUAGUUGACUUUUAUAUGUUGUUCUUUGCGCAAGCAAGGUUCACACGUUUAAUUAUUUGAACGUUAAAAUACAACUCUUAGCAAUGGAUAUCUUGGUUCUC